CAAUAGCGUAUAUUUAAGUUGUUGCAGUUAAAAAGCUCGUAGUUGGAUUUCGGUUAAGAGCGACCGGUCCGCCGUUUGGUGUGCACUGGUUGGUUUUAACUUCCUGUAGAGGACGUGCUCUGGGUUUAACGACCUGGACUCAGAGUCUACGUGGUUACUUUGAAAAAAUUAGAGUGUUCAAAGCGGGCUUACGCUUGAAUAUUUCAGCAUGGAAUAACACUAUAGGACUCCUGUCCUAUUUCGUUGGUCUCGGGACGGGAGUAAUGAUUAAGAGGAACAGUUGGGGGCAUUCGUAUUUCAUUGUCAGAGGUGAAAUUCUUGGAUUUAUGAAAGACGAACUUCUGCGAAAGCAUUUGCCAAGGAUGUUUNCAUUAA
rnacentral:rRNA from 1 species